rnacentral:rRNA from 1 species
AACGAACGCUGGCGGCAUGCCUAACACAUGCAAGUCGAACGAGACCUUCGGGUCUAGUGGCGAACGGGUGCGUAACGCGUGGGAACCUGCCCUUAGGUUCGGAAUAACUCCCCGAAAGGGGUGCUAAUACCGGAUAAUGUCUUCGGACCAAAGAUUUAUCGCCUUUGGGUGGGCCCGCGUUGGAUUAGCUAGUUGGUAGGGUAAAAGCCUACCAAGGCGACGAUCCAUAGCUGGUCUGAGAGGAUGAUCAGCCACACUGGGACCGAGACACGGCCCAGACUCCUACGGGAGGCAGCAGUGGGGAAUAUUGGACAAUGGGCGAAAGCCUGAUCCAGCAAUGCCGCGUGAGUGAUGAAGGCCUUAGGGUUGUAAAGCUCUUUUACCCGGGAUGAUAAUGACAGUACCGGGAGAAUAAGCUCCGGCUAACUCCGUG